GGCCUGACCCGACCUUUUGCCGGUCCGUGCUACGACGGCUUCUCGUUCGUUUGUUUUCCUUUUGGACCGGAAAGAGGAGCACGAUUUGUACCAUGUUUUCGUGCCAUAAGUCUAAUUGUUGUUGGAAUUUACCUCAGCAGGUGGUAGUCUUGCUUUCUUC